rnacentral:lncRNA from 1 species
GUUACGGGGUUGCCCAGCGGUGAAGCCUAGUGUUGAAGUCCGGCGGAGAAGCUCGUGGGGAUGUUCAGCGGUGAAAUCCAGCAGUGGAGACCAGCGGAACAUGGCCGGUGUUACCGCUGACUGAGAUCGGCGGUGCCGCUGAAGAAGUUUGGCGGUGUACAGUUAUUCAGUGGAGUUGCUCAGCGAAACCUGGCCGGCGGAGGAGCUCGGCGGUAAGUUGGCCAUAGUUGGCGGUGGAGAUUUCCCAGCUGUGAUGCUUAGCGGAGUAGAGUUACCGCUGCCAGAUAUUUAUGUCGCUGAAGGAGCAUGGCCGCUGAUGGAGAUUGAAGCUCAGAAGCUUGCCUAGCGGAAGGGAGAUUCCGCUGAUGGAUACGAGCGGAGCCGCUGAGGCUAGAGGGGCUCGCUGCCGCUGGUUUGCCGCCGAAGUUUGCCGAGCUGAGCGGAGCCGCUGAGGCUAGCGCUGGAAGUGGUGGCCAGUGGUGUCCGCCGACUGAUGCCAGCGGCGUAUGCCAAAGGAGGCUGUUGCGUUGCGGGUUGGCGGAGCGGAGCUGGUCCUGACUUGGAGGUCGGCGGAGACAGCGGUGAUUGAACACUUGAUCUCAGCGGAAGAUUGAUGUUCGGCGGACACUCAGAGGUCGGCGGAGGCUCGGAGUUUGGCGGAGACUCGGAACUCAGCGGGGGGCUUGGCGGAGAAAGCUUUGCCGGUGAAGUUUGCCGCUGGGAUUUGCUAGCGGGAGAUGGCCGG